CAGGUAUUUCUGGCUUUUCUGUUGCCAAGAGUGAUGAUACGGGUGAACAUCCAUUUUAGUAGAUACUUUGCUGUUUACUGGUUUGUCGAUCAGCCAGAAACCUAGAAAGAUCAUGUAUAAUCAAGAGGUAGCCGUUACUGUUCAGCCGGGUUCUAAAGAAAUCAACCCAGAUGAUUGGAUGCAAGACUGGAUGCAGCCACCAUCUCCUGAAAGAGUUCCAACCAAUUGCCCACCUGGACUAGAGCAUCUCGCUGUAAUGCCAGAAAUUUUCAUUCAUCAAAAAAUCAGCUGGGUUGAAAUUUGCUGUGACUGGGAGGCAAACCAGCAGUAUGAAAUUCUACACCCAGAAACAAAUAAAAGGCUGUACAAGGUAGUUGAAGGUUGGUGCAUACUUACAUAGAAUAUCUUUUGUUUUGGAGGCUCUAAUGAAAUGAUUCAGACUAACU